AGUAGUUUGACUCCGUGGCUCGAGGACGACGCUGGCGGCGUGCUUAACACAUGCAAGUCGAACGAAGCUUGAUUUCGGAAUCUUUCGGGAUGAAGAAUGAUAUGACUUAGUGGCGGACGGGUGAGUAACGCGUGAGUAACCUGCCUUUCAGAGUGGAAUAACGUUUGGAAACGAACGCUAAUACCGCAUAACAUCAAUUUAUCGCAUGGUAGAAUGAUCAAAGAUUUAUCGCUGAGAGAUGGACUCGCGUCCGAUUAGGUAGUUGGUGAGGUAACGGCUCACCAAGCCGACGAUCGGUAGCCGGACUGAGAGGUUGAACGGCCACAUUGGGACUGAGACACGGCCCAGACUCC
rnacentral:rRNA from 1 species